GACGAACGCUGGCGGCGCGCCUAACACAUGCAAGUCGAACGAGCGAGAGAGAGCUUGCUUUCUCGAGCGAGUGGCGAACGGGUGAGUAACGCGUGAGGAACCUGCCUCAAAGAGGGGGACAACAGUUGGAAACGACUGCUAAUACCGCAUAAGCCCACGGGUCGGCAUCGACCAGAGGGAAAAGGAGCAAUCCGCUUUGAGAUGGCCUCGCGUCCGAUUAGCUAGUUGGUGAGGUAACGGCCCACCAAGGCAACGAUCGGUAGCCGGACUGAGAGGUUGAAGCGCAGAAGGGGGCAGGAGGCACGGCCGAGUAGCCGACGGGAGGCAGCAGGGGGGAAUAUCGCACAAGGGGGGAAACCCGGAUGCGGCGACGGCGGGGGGAGAAAGAAGGUGUGGGGUUUGUACACUCUGGGUGUGGGGAAAGAUAAUGAGGAUCCCGAACAAAGAAGGGACGACUAACUACGUGCCAGCAGGCGAGAUAAAAGAUGAAAGAGAAUACUUCAUACC
rnacentral:rRNA from 1 species